GCGGGUGUAGCUCAAUGGUAGAGCCCCAGCCUUCCAAGCUGGCCAUGCGGGUUCGAUUCCCGUCACCCGCU
rnacentral:tRNA from 1 species